UAUUGGACAAUGGGGGGAACCCUGAUCCAGCGACGCCGCGUGAGUGAAGAAGUAUCUCGGUAUGUAAAGCUCUAUCAGCAGGGAAGAAGAAGUAACGGUACCUGACUAAGAAGCCCCGGCUAACUACGUGCCAGCAGCCGCGGUAAGACGUAGGGGGCAAGCGUUAUCCGGAUUUACUGUGUGUAAAGGGAGCGUAGACGGCAGCGCAAGUCUGGCGUGAAAUGCCGGGGCCCAACCCCGGAACUGCUUUGGAAACUGUGCAGCUCGAGUGCAGGAGAGGUAAGCGGAAUUCCUAGUGUAGCGGUGAAAUGCGUAGAUAUUAGGAGGAACACCAGUGGCGAAGGCGGCUUACUGGACUGUAACUGACGUUGAGGCUCGAAAGCGUGGGGAGCA
rnacentral:rRNA from 1 species